rnacentral:rRNA from 1 species
GGAUUGAACGCUGGCGGCAGGCCUAACACAUGCAAGUCGAGCGGUAGAGAGGUGCUUGCAUCUCUUGAGAGCGGCGGACGGGUGAGUAAUGCCUAGGAAUCUGCCUAGUGGUGGGGGAUAACGUUCGGAAACGGACGCUAAUACCGCAUACGUCCUACGGGAGAAAGCGGGGGACCUUCGGGCCUCGCGCCAUUAGAUGAGCCUAGGUCGGAUUAGCUAGUUGGUGAGGUAAUGGCUCACCAAGGCGACGAUCCGUAACUGGUCUGAGAGGAUGAUCAGUCACACUGGAACUGAGACACGGUCCAGACUCCGUACGGAGCAGCAGUGGGGAAUAGUUGGACAA